rnacentral:rRNA from 1 species
CAGUCGCCACGGGAAUACAGAGGGUGCAAGCGUUAAUCGGAAUUACUGGGCGUAAAGCGCGCGUAGGUGGUUUGUUAAGUUGGAUGUGAAAUCCCCGGGCUCAACCUGGGAACUGCAUCCAAAACUGGCAAGCUAGAGUAUGGUAGAGGGUGGUGGAAUUUCCUGUGUAGCGGUGAAAUGCGUAGAUAUAGGAAGGAACACCAGUGGCGAAGGCGACCACCUGGACUGAUACUGACACUGAGGUGCGAAAGCGUGGGGAGCAAACAGGAUUAGAGACCCCAGUAGUCCCUGUCUCUUAUAC